rnacentral:rRNA from 1 species
GAUGAACGCUGGCGGCGUGCCUAAUACAUGCAAGUCGAGCGAACGGACGAGAAGCUUGCUCCUCUGAUGUUAGCGGCGGACGGGUGAGUAACACGUGGAUAAACUACCUAUAAGACUGGGAUAACUUCGGGAAACCGGAGCUAAUACCGGAUAAUAUUUUGAACCGCAUGGUUCAAAAGUGAAAGAAGGUCUUGCUGUCACUUAUAGAUGGAUCCGCGCUGCAUUAGCUAGUUGGUAAGGUAACGGCUUACCAAGGCAACGAUGCAUAGCCGACCUGAGAGGGUGAUCGGCCACACUGGAACUGAGACACGGUCCAGACUCCUACGGGAGGCAGCAGUAGGGAAUCUUCCGCAAUGGGCGCAAGCCUGACGUAGCAACGCCGCGUGAGUGAUGAAGGUCUUCGGAUCGUAAAACUCUGUUAUUAGGGAAGAACAUAUGUGUAAGUAACUGUGCACAUCUUGACGGUACCUAAUCAGAAAGCCACGGCUAACUACGUG